rnacentral:rRNA from 1 species
AGGGUUUGAUCCUGGCUCAGGAUGAACGCUGGCGGCGUGCUUAACACAUGCAAGUCGAACGAACCUUCGGGUUAGUGGCGGACGGGUGAGUAACGCGUGAGAAUCUGCCCUCAGGAGGGGGAUAACGGUUGGAAACGACCGCUAAUACCCCAUAUGCCUACUGGUGAAAUGAAUUUCGCCUGAGGAUGAGCUCGCGUCUGAUUAGCUAGUUGGUGAGGUAAUGGCUUACCAAGGCUUCGAUCAGUAGCUGGUCUGAGAGGAUGAUCAGCCACACUGGGACUGAGACACGGCCCAGACUCCUACGGGAGGCAGCAGUGGGGAAUUUUCCGCAAUGGGCGAAAGCCUGACGGAGCAACGCCGCGUGAGGGACGAAGGCCUCUGGGCUGUAAACCUCUUUUCUCAAGGAAGAAGAUAUGACGGUACUUGAGGAAUAAGCCACGGCUAAUUCCGUGCCAGCAGCCGCGGUAAUACGGGAGUGGCAAGCGUUAUCCGGAAUUAUUGGGCGUAAAGCGUCCGCAGGCGGCUUUUCAAGUCUGCUGUUAAAGCGUGGAGCUUAACUCCAUCAUGGCAGUGGAAACUGAAAGGCUUGAGUAUGGUAGGGGCAGAGGGAAUUCCCGGUGUAGCGG